GACCAUGGUCUCUGUGUUUGAAGGCCCAUUUGGGAGUUGAUAGAGACCUUUCCAAGAGCUACUUUGAUGACUUGUAGAUCAAUGUCAAGCUGGUAAGUGCCGACCUCUAAUUGAUGUCCUCCAUAUGACUCCAAAGAUUUUUUAGGUAAUCAACAUCGACAAACAUUUUCAAUACAUGCUUUCACUGCCGCAAAAUAAGUCACUAUGUGUCAUAAUCCAAAGCCUCCAUGAUUAUCCACAAUCGCAUUUGAACGGUGAUGGAUCUAAAGCCACAUACAAGUAUCACAACAUCACUCCAUUUAGAAAAAAAAUGGCUAGAAAUUGUAUUACUUGCCCAAUAAACAGGCUUCGAGUCCAUAAAAUAGAAAGAGUACACAUCCCUGUCUGGUAAUUUUCAUAGUUUUUCCUUGUACUUGGAGUAUCAUUCAUACACAAGUACCCACAUCCAUUUUGAGUGUCCAAAAUGUAUCUAACAAGGGUAUGUACUAUGUACCUAAAGUUAGUAGCAAUAACCUCAUCUACCAUUGGGAAAGCCUAGAUGCAAGGCAAAGCGAGGCCCUAGGGCAGGGGUGGCAAUUACGGGUUAAAAUGCAGUACGAAAUUAUUGAGAGAAAAUUGAAUACAUCUCAACAUUAACUCAAAAUUAACACAAAUAUCAACUCAAACAUGACUUGCAUCCCAAAUCAUUACUCCUAUACCAGGAUUUAUAUCCACGGUAGUAGCAUGAGGUGUGAUAUCAUCCUCAAGUACACACCUCUAAGUGAGGCUCCAAGUCAUGUGCU
rnacentral:misc_RNA from 1 species